rnacentral:rRNA from 1 species
CGCUUACCAUGCAGUCGAGCGCACUCUUCGGAGUGAGCGGCGGACGGGUUAGUAACGCGUGGGAACGUGCCCUUCUCUAAGGAAUAGCCACUGGAAACGGUGAGUAAUACCUUAUACGCCCUUCGGGGGAAAGAUUUAUCGGAGAAGGAUCGGCCCGCGUUAGAUUAGAUAGUUGGUGGGGUAAUGGCCUACCAAGUCUACGAUCUAUAGCUGGUUUUAGAGGAUGAUCAGCAACACUGGGACUGAGACACGGCCCAGACUCCUACGGGAGGCAGCAGUGGGGAAUCUUGGACAAUGGGCGCAAGCCUGAUCCAGCCAUGCCGCGUGAGUGAUGAAGGCCUUAGGGUCGUAAAGCUCUUUCGCCAGAGAUGAUAAUGACAGUAUCUGGUAAAGAAACCCCGGCUAACUCCGUGCCAGCAGCCGCGGUAAUACGGAGGGGGUUAGCGUUGUUCGGAAUUACUGGGCGUAAAGCGCACGUAGGCGGAUCAGAAAGUAUAGGGUGAAAUCCCAGGGCUCAACCCUGGAACUGCCUUGUAAACUCCUGGUCUUGAGUUCGAGAGAGGUGAGUGGAAUUCCGAGUGUAGAGGUGAAAUUCGUAGAUAUUCGGAGGAACACCAGUGGCGAAGGCGGCUCACUGGCUCGAUACUGACGCUGAGGUGCGAAAGUGUGGGGAGCAAACAGGAUUAGAUACCCUGGUAGUCCACA